rnacentral:lncRNA from 1 species
CUGCCUUUGGCCCACCUGCCAUCUGCAAGUCAUUUCCUGCCCGCAGCCGGAGGCUCACCUCUCGUUAACAAGAAGCCGAGGGGGCAGCCAGGCUGCAGGGCAGAUCCUGGGGGGGACCGGCAGAGCUGGGCACAGCGGAGGGGCUCGGCCAGAGGCUGGCGCUUUGUCUCCAUCGGACUUUAAUGCCACCUCACCUUGGGCAGAGGGAAUGUGGUUAAGUCAACACUGUGGACGGGCCUCUAACCAACCCUAAAGAAGCUGUGUGCGGACGCUGGCAGCCUUGGGCACUGAUAAAGGUAGAGUGUCCGUGCGCACUCUCAUCCACUUGAACUCACGGCAGGCCCAGCGGGCCAGGCCUCCGGGUCACCACACAUGUAUAAAAAGGGAAACUGAGGCUCCAGGGCUCCUGAUGAUGCUAACAGACACAGCCAGGUAAUCCCCUCUCCCGCUCCUUCCACAUUCAGGGCAAUCUCGUUAAGAUGCUUUUCCUUCCCAGAGCGUUUACCUGGGCACCACGUGUUCAUCGUGCAAGUUACGGACAACGCAGGAUCAGGCUGAGGCUGCGACGGGCCUGAAACGGGCCCCUCGCCGGCCUCCUCCCCGACCUGUCCUGUCCCGCUCCCCCACUCCCAGGCCAGCCCUGCCAGGAGCACCUCGGUGUCGCCAGCCCAUGAAGGCUGACAGUUGCCUGUCACCUUGGGGACGUGCUUUUGGGGACUCUGACCUAACACACGUGUGUUUGAGGAUUUUCCGCCGGCGUCUAGUAUAGUGAGCACAUAACUGAGUUAGAAAUGUAUCCACUGAACGAGUUCACUGAUUCAUUAAUUUACUAGACAUCUACUGAGCGCACUCUGUGGGUGGUACCCCAGCAGCGAUGGACGCACCGCGUCCGUGCACGUGCAUCUGUGUGUUUCUGUGCCUGUCCAUGGUUGUCUGUGUGCGGCUUGGUGUAUAAGUCCAUGUGUUCCCCUGUGUAUGUGCUCGAUAUGUUUCUACGUGAGGAGCAGGCGACGGGCCACACAGGUGGUCGGUGGCAGGACUGGGCCCUAAGCGCAGGUGGGCCUGACCCGCUUUCCCCAUCACCAGGCAGCUAAUACAGGUGAGCUGUGGCCUGGGUGCACCGUGGCACCAGGUGGUCCCCCAGGACAAGCCCUGCUCACAGCAGCCUCGACCCUGAAAGCCGUGUGGGCAUCCAAGGGCCCGGGGCCAGCCGGUGGGUUUUACUAAAGUACCCCCCGCCGAACAACACAACUUUGCGUGGAGCGCAGCUGCCAGGACCAGCCCCAGGUGGGAGAGCCUGGGCGAGGUGGGGCAUCCGGGCGAGCAAAGAGAGGGGCUGUUUCCAACCCUGCUUGCUGUUCACUAACACACUGGCCUUGGGCACCUGCAAGAAUCUUCUAGAGCCUCAAUCUCCUCACUUAAGAGAUGGAGACAGAGCACUUCCAACAUUUAGACAGCAUCCCAGACACCGGUGAGUUACCGUAUUUCUUCAAUACGGGAUGGGAUGCCCCCAUUGCAAGGCGCCGUGUCAACCUGCGCCACCGAGAAAGAAAACACGAACCCAUCGCAUAGGACACGGCGCUUGCUUCUCAUUUCGGGUUUUAUUUGAUUCUUACUGAAAGAGCUCCUUUUGACUUGUUUAGAUAUAGAUUUUUACUGUAUAACACUCUUGGGCAGACACAAAAAGGAAGAUACAAAUGAAAAGAACAGGUUACAGGAUGUCACAGACGUAGUCCCUUUCAGAGUCCGGCUCUCGGAAUCACUGCUGGGCUCAGAGGGCGAAUUCCCGUUCUCUCCAUGGCUAAAGCCGGAGGGUCAUCAACUGCUUCCCAAUUACCGUAUUUUAUCAAAUACAAGAGGCCGUUGCUGGAAAGCUGCAUCCUGACCUCAGAGAUGUUAAAAUGGGGAGGAGAGGGGGACAGACGUGUUUCUUAGACUUGACAAAAAAAAAAAGAGAGAGAAAGUAGCCUUGACGGCGACUCUUGCAUGAUCUGUCUCCCCCUUCAAACUCUCUGCACUACCACCCAAUUUUCUUCUCAGCUCUCUGCGCCCGGGCUACGAGUUCCGAUGCUGGCACUUUGGAUGUUUGACAGCACAGGCUGUGACAACGACGCCGGGACUGCCAGCCAUGGGACCGUGACGUGAAAUUUGCAAACCAGUUCAGAGAUGUUAAGAAUGUGAAAACGCAAAUGUGCAUCUCAGGAUGGAGGAAACAUGGCAGGUGACUCCUGAGGGGGAAGGAAGGCUGAGAGUUGAAAAUAAAAAGCGCGCUCCUCCAGCUCAGAGCUGGGGUUGAGCAAGGCUUCUUGCUCCCAGGCUGCUGGCCGAGAACCUGGGCUAGCCCAGGCUAGCCUGGGCCAAGCGAGAAUGGACCGUGGAGAUAGCUGAUCCAAAGGGUCGCUUUGAAAGAAAUAGAAACCACCGUGAAAUUGGUGGUCCAGGGUUUGCUCGCUCUCUGAUGAAAGGGGAUCACCUCCACGUGAAAUCUCUUUGUCCAGAAGUGAAGGAAGCGAGGGGAAGUGAGCCCCAGCCGGUCCCAGCAGUGGUCACAUGUCUCUCAUUGCUUGGGGACAAGAUGUAUGGUGCUGACACGGAACCAGCAGGAUAGUUUCAAGCGUUUACCAGUUACUGCCUGGUGGGGGGUCCUCAUCAGCCAUCCAGUAUGGGGGGCGGGGGCUGAGCCCUGGACAACCAGCCAGUCCCAUGCCACCCCCGUCACCAUUCCGGAGCCACCCUCUUCUUCCAGAGCCCCCGGAUGGAAACCGCUCAGGCCUGAAGAGCCUCCUGGGGUCCUGGCUUCUGUUUUCUGGAAGGCAGGCUGCUGUCUGGAAUUCUGGCCCCCAUCUCCUCCGUCAGAGGCACACAGGGCUGGGGACAAUCCAGAACACCUGAAGGGACUGCCAUGCUCUGCACAGGCCCGUACACCAUGGCCAGGGCCACUGCGAGCUCACAGCUGGGUUUCAGCCCCUAUCACCCCGCCAGGCAUCUUUGCUCAGUGCACUAACUACACGGCUGUAGGAGUAGAGAAGUAGCCCUGGUCAUCAGAUGGUAAGUCUUAGGAACAAGCAGCGUCAUCCUUGCCUUCAUUUAACAAACACUGAUCAAGCUCCUGGUGCCUGUGCCAAGCAGCCUGCCACACACAUCAGCCCAGACAGAAUGGCCAGGGGAGGCAUCACGUCACAUGCCCAGAUGGAUUGGCAAUGCCUGUCUGGAGAGCUGUGAGCCAUUGGUGAUGUCUGCCCUGGACAGGAGAAGGCGGGACAUAGCAUCACUGGUUCUAUUUCAGGAGUCUAGGGGUGGGUGCCAGGAUGAGUAACAUACAGCCCUUGCUUUCAAGGGGUAAUUCACCAGGACAAACAAAGCAAUUAAUUAGUUGCCCGGAUACAAUGUUACAAAUUCCUUUGUGGCCAGGUUUUGUUUUGGGGCCUUCAUUUACACAGAAUUUUUUCUCCCAGGUUUCUCUCCUCCUUCCCGGACCAGGACACCGCAGGCGCUGGGCCUCCCAGUCCAGGGAAGGUGUUUGGGGGUCGAAGUGGGGGAGGGGGCUGUGAGCUUCCUGGCUCAGCUUCUCAAAGUCUCAACCCCAUGAGGAAGGCAGAGCUGGAGCCCAGUGAUGGGCCAGCAGGAGAGGAAUGGGGCUUCCUCCCAUAAGAAAAGGAGCCAAAGGCCACCUCAGGGCCAUCGAGCUGCACAACCCUGGAGGUGCCAUUCCCAUCACCUUCACUGCACUCCUCAGCUAGGGCUGUUUCUCUCUAGCCAAAGAAAUGACACUCUAACUGUGAAAUUUCAGGCCAAGAAGGAAAGUAUUUUUUGUGUGUACAAAGUGGGGGGGCAGACCCUUCUCUGAGCCCUUUAAUUAAUUAAUUAGUAUUUAUUAAUUUAUUGUUUUAUUAAAUUACUAAGUAAUACCAACCCAUUUUAUUAAUCUAUUAAGUUAGUAUGAAGCAUUGUAUUUUAAUAUAAAUCUGUUGUCAAUUUACUAAUUAUUAUUUGAUUAAUAGCCACCUUUCUGCCAUCAAGCAGUCCUAGAUCUGGCCCCUUGGCCAGCUGGAGCUCCAGGAUGGUUGCAUGUCUCCUGCGUCUGGGCUGAAGGCAGUGUAUCGGUCAGGACGGGAUGCACUGGGCUUGGUAACAAAAAAAACCCCAGUCCGGUGGCUGAAGACAAUGAUUUGCUCCUUGCUCCUUCCCCACGUCCCCUGCAGGUGAGCAGGGAGGUCUGCUCAUCACAGAUGCUCAGGGACCCCAGUGAGAGGAGCAGCAAGCUGCCUUCUCGACUGGCUCCCGGCCCCAUCCCGGAGUGCCUCAUGGUGGCCUCAGUGAAGCACUCAGCCUGGCAGUGGCGCAUCUCUGCGGCUCACAGCUCUCGGGCUGGCUAUCUGGAGGAGGACUGCCAUGCAUGUGCCCCCGACAAGGGGGGUGAGAGUGCACCCCAUCCGCUGCCCACACACGGGCGCUCACGUCCACCGCAGACGCCUUCUGGUGGCGGCCAUGCCUGCAGGCAUCAGGCGGCGGGGGAGCCAGCAGUGAAGGAGGCAGACUCAGGCACGACGGUCCAGCCGGGCAGACAGACAGUGGACCAGUGUGGCAGAAUGAAUGACCUUAUCAUGUCCAUGGCGAAGGCCGCAAAGGAGGAAGGCAGGGUGCCGGGGCAUCGACAGGGCACUUGAACCUCACAGGGGUGUUUGGGAGGCUCCCUCAGGCCUGGGCUGACGUUUGGGAUGAAACCUACAGGGUGGCUGGGCGUUCUCUGAGAGGCGGGCAGGGUGGGUGCAAAUCCCUGUGGCCUUGGGGAGCGUCGUCUCUUCCAGGAACGGUGAAAAAGCCAUCGUUGCUGGAGCAGAGAGCACGGAGUGGGACAUGCAGCUGCAAAGUCAGUGGCCGGAUCCUUCACGGUCGCGUGAGCCGGGCUUAUGACCCUGGCCUGUGUCCUCAGGGCCCUAGGGAGCCAUGGAGGGUCUGCAGGCGGGAGUGGGGAUGCCGGGUUGAACGGCGCCCUCUGGUGGCCGUGCGGGGCGUGGCCUCUUCAAUGCGCCCAUCCCGGCCUCUGUUCUAAGGCUUCCUCGGGGUGCCCCGAGCUGCCGGCCUUCUGAGACUCCCCACCACGUUAAUGCUGGUGGACACAGCUCGCAGGGCCAGCCUCCCAGAUGGCAUGCCACCAAGCCACGCUCUCCAGGAGACGCCAGACGGACAGGCCAGCGCUGCGUGGAGCAGACCCAGACAGCACAGACAGCCAGCCAGCUGGGGAGCAGAGAUGGAAUGAUGGCAGCCCAAAUGCUCCGCAUUUCUGAAGGCAGAUAAACCCCAACCAGCCAGAAGGAGGGCGCCUGGCGGCUGCCGCCCAGACUCACAUGUCUGUGGCCUGUUUCUGCUCAAAACUGCAAUUGCUUAUCACAGGUCGCAGGCGAGCUAUUAGUCACGGCUCCUCAAAGCACAGCCUCCAGCCGGAGACUUCUAUCGGCGGUUUUUCUUCUUUAUUUUCUUCUUCAUUGCAGACGGGAUGAAUUGAGCCAACUGAACUUUCUGGAAAGAGAGAUGUUUUUCCUCCUUCAUUUUCAGAAAGUAAUACGCGUGCCCAGGAUGACAGUGCCAAGGGGUGGUCACGGACUCGAGUCUUCCUCUCACCCCCGAACCCCCAUUUUCCUUCCCAAUUGCCAGUAUCUUCCAUCCUUCCAGGGAGACCAGGCACGGUGGCAGCAACCACAAAUCCACCGAUUUCUACAAAAGUGUGGCUCCCGUGAAUAUGCUCUGUUCCUCACCGACUGCUGGCUUUACUCUGUAGGAGAGGGAUACUGUGAAAUAGCUCGGUCGUUUUGGGGUUCCCACAUCAGCGUCCCUUCUGCUGUCACAACCAGGCCACGAAAUGUGGCUUAUUGCUCAGCGGGGAGGAGAACAGGUACAAAGGGUAAACACUCGGCUUAGAGCAUCGAAAUAACUUUCUUGAGGUUUUUUUUAAGUCCCGGGUGAGACAGUGGUCUUGCAAGCUGGGCUUUCAAGUGUGAGUAAAGGUUCCCGUAAUUCCCAGAGCUGGAUGUUCUCUCUCGAAGAGCCACCCAUGGAGGACUGACCUCGGCGUGAAUCCAAGGGGAGGAUGCAAGACGCAGCCGAGGGAGGAGAAAAGCACGGGAGAGGAAGAGCCAGGGAGGGGGCGACGGAGAGAGAUGAAAGCCUGGCUGCAGCCCUCCGGGUAGAGAGGUGGAGACCCCAGGCAGCCCUUCCCCACUGCCUUAAGGGGCCGAGAACCUCCCCGUGGGUCCACGUGGCAAUCGGGGUCCAGGCCAGGAAACAGGCGCCCCUCUGAGCAUUUCAACGGAAGGAAUUGAAGGCAGGGAGUUGGUUCUGCAGUCCAGAGAGUGGCUGGGAAGCUUAACAGAGCUGGGGGUGACCUUGAGCUCAGCAACUGCAGGAAGCUGCCCCCAGUUCUGCAAGUGAGCGGACAGGAGGAGGACGUGCAGGACCCAGGGUCAGGGAGGAUUCCAGAACACGGAGGCCUGGCUGGAGGAAGCUGGGACCAUGGAGGAGACAAGAGGCCACCAGAGAGGUAGCCCGAAGGGGAGGAGGGAGCACCUGGCUUCUCCUCCAGUGCCUCCCAUUGGCUUCACUUGGCCGAUCCAGGCACCUGGGAAACGCAGCUGUUGGGGAUCCUGUGAUAAAGAGAAAGGGAAGGGCUGGGGGGGAUCUGAAGGCAAAGAGGCCCAGGACCCAUAGCUCAGCCCCCUUCCAACAUGGUCCUGAAUGGUGGAAUACAAACGGCGGAGGGCAGGGCCCGGGGAAGGGGCCUAAGAGAACACCCUGCUUCCUGUGGAUUGUGUGUGGCCCGUGGCUUCUGAGAAGUUCCGUGUGCCCCCAUGGGGGAUGUGGGGUCUGGCUGAGGGGCGAGGUCGGUGAGCUCAUGGGAGGAGGGGGUCACCACUCUAAGGAGCAAAGUGACCCUGAUGGAGAACGGCAGGACAGCCACGCUGGAGAGCCAUCAACAUAAUAUCUGGACUCGAAAAGGUCCACAACCCAACGAAUGUGAUGCAUGUGACAGAACACCAACGUGGCCCCAAGGGCGACAGAGCCUGAGGAGAGUGUUGAUCGAAUGGUUUUGUGAAAUGUGAGAGUAGAAAACAGCCAUAUUUCUAAGGAAAUAUCUAAUAUGAUUUUAAAUAUGUAUGUGUAAAUUUAUAAUUAAAUAUAAUUUUUUAAGAAACAG